AGCGAACGCUGGCGGCAGGCCUAACACAUGCAAGUCGAACGAUCCUUCGGGAUAGUGGCGGACGGGUGAGUAACACGUGGGAACGUGCCCUUUGGUUCGGAACAACUCAGGGAAACUUGAGCUAAUACCGAAUGUGCCCUUCGGGGGAAAGAUUUAUCGCCAUUGGAGCGGCCCGCGUCUGAUUAGCUAGUUGGUGAGGUAACGGCUCACCAAGGCGACGAUCAGUAGCUGGUCUGAGAGGAUGAUCAGCCACAUUGGGACUGAGACACGGCCCAAACUCCUACGGGAGGCAGCAGUGGGGAAUCUUGCGCAAUGGGCGAAAGCCUGACGCAGCCAUGCCGCGUGAAUGAUGAAGGUCUUAGGAUUGUAAAAUUCUUUCACCGGGGACGAUAAUGACGGUACCCGGAGAAGAAGCUCCGGCUAACUUCGUGCCAGCCGCCGCCGUAACAC
rnacentral:rRNA from 1 species